rnacentral:rRNA from 1 species
GACGAACGCUGGCGGCGUGCCUAAUACAUGCGAGUAGAACGCUGAAGGAGGAGCUUGCUCUUCUGGAUGAGUUGCGAACGGGUGAGUAACGCGUAGGUAACCUGCCUGGUAGCGGGGGAUAACUAUUGGAAACGAUAGCUAAUACCGCAUAACAGUAGAUGUUGCAUGACAUUUACUUAAAAGGUGCAAUUGCAUCACUACCAGAUGGACCCGCGUUGUAUUAGCUAGUUGGUGGGGUAACGGCUCACCAAGGCGACGAUACAUAGCCGACCUGAGAGGGUGAUCGGCCACACUGGGACUGAGACACGGCCCAGACUCCUACGGGAGGCAGCAGUAGGGAAUCUUCGGCAAUGGACGGAAGUCUGACCGAGCAACGCCGCGUGAGUGAAGAAGGUUUUCGGAUCGUAAAGCUCUGUUGUAAGAGAAGAACGAGUGUGAGAGUGGAAAGUUCACACUGUGACGGUAUCUUACCAGAAAGGGACGGCUAACUACGUG